rnacentral:tRNA from 1 species
GGCUCCAUAAUGUAGUGGUUAGCACAUCUGCUUUACACGCAGAAGGUCCUGAGUUUGCAUCCCAGGUGGAGCCA